AGCCCUGCUUUAAUUAGAAAAGACUCACACAUGGAUCACAUCAACAGCAUAAGGACUGGUACCACCUCCUUCAGCCUUCUGUAGUGCUUCUCCUGCUGUUGUCCCUGGCAUCAUUGGCCAUCACUGCUCCCGUAAUUGAGCCGAAUUCCUCUCUGCUCACUGCUCCCAAAUGAGCUUGCCGCCCUGUGUAUGGCAGAGGGCAGCUUUUGCCAUGUGCCUUCCAGGUGCACUCCGAGCUUGGUGACGCACCUGGCACACAGCUGCUUUUGCACGGGGCAGGAGGUGAGCGCUGGGUGCGUUCCCAGCGAUGCUGUUACAGGAGCUGUGUUGCAGCAAUGCCUCAGUCCUGCACUGCUCAAGGUGGAGCUGAGACAAGGGCUUUGCAAACACGGACAACAGCAGCACCUGUGAUCUUCACAAAUCCAACCAGAUGGAGGCUGCUAAUGAGGAAGGAGGGAUAAGUGUCUAUCUCAGCCUGUUUGGCAGAGGCGUUGUGCUCCAGACCUGCCUGGGUUUCAUGAGCCAACCUUCACCAGGGUUGAAGUCCCCAGCAGGUGUUUCCACUGCCACUUGGACUCAUAGAAUCGUUAAGGUUGGAAAAGACCACUGAGAUCAUCUAGUGCAACCACUGACCCAUCACCACCAUGCCCACUAACCGUGUCCCACUUGUCCUUCUGCACCAGCGCCUUGCAGUUGUGCAGGUGACACACGAGGGCAACCUGCUAAACAGAGCUGGUCGGAAUAUUCCCCACCUUCAAAUCGAGGACCCUCCGUUGGAGCAUCUCCACUUCAGGAGUAUUUCAUUCAAACGCUCUUUGGAUGAGCUCGGAGGGUCUCUUGUUGGAUCAUUUUGAGCGUCCUUUGGAAAACAGCAGCUUGGAUUCUAUCAGGAUAUAAAAAUAAAGUCUUUGGACUUCUAUUGAAAGGAAAUGUUUUGAUUGCCUUCAAGCAAUCUUUUCUGCUUUACCUUGCACUUCUGUGGGAAUUUUGAAAUAGAAAAAAAUAUGGCAUUUCAAAACACCCUUGCAUGCAGAUCCCUGGGAUUUCCUGCAGACAGAUUCUCACCGCUCUGACCCACCAGUACCCGCUCCUAGCACACCCUGAGCCUGCUGCUCCCCGGGGAAUGAGAGCAGACACAGCUGCUGUGAGGGAAAUGGGAAAGCAUGCAGCUUCUGCUGAUUUUAAGAAAUCCCAUUCUUGAACAAGUAAAGGCUUAUCCCCCACUCAGCUCUCCUCCAUUGAUCCAGGCUCGGAGAGAAGAACCAAUAUAUUUAAAAAUCAAAGCAAAUGGUUCAUUUUCCUCUUAGUCUGAGGCCAACAUUCAUUUGAAAUUGACUUUGCGUCUGCUCGUUUUGCAAACGCCCGUCUCCAGGCAGGGGCUGGAAAGGAGCCUUCAGUGCAGGGCUCGUGUCCUGCUGCCGUGCUGCAUGGGUGGAAGCAAUGGAACCUGGCUGCAAAGGGCUCCAUUGCUGUACCCUCUGUUUUGCGUGGGCCCUGCUCUAUGCAAUGGGGACUUCUUGGUUGCCGCCAGCGUGAGCUCAGCACAUUGACUCCAUUGGCUGCUGCAGAGCAUCCCUCUGCCUCACAGGCUCUUUAUUUCAUUAGUCACCUUCUGGCCUCAAAUAGAAGGAAAUGCAGGGUUUUCAUUAAAAGCCUCGAGCCUUCGUGAUGAUGCUCAGCAGAGGUACCAGUUUCGCAUUUGGGAGAUGGCCAGAAAGAAUAAAAAUGGCCUUAUUAUACAGCAAGGUGGGAAAACUUUUCCUGAGGGAUGGGAGAGGGGGAGAUGCAGACUUUUAUCUCCUUUGGAGAUGUACUAAAUGACUGCAGUGCAGGUAUUCAGCAAACUCGGCCCUAGGUAGGCCAGGGACUGCUCAGAGUAGAUGGGGCCUUGUGGAGGUGGUCCCUGGGGUUGAGCUUCUCUCUCCAGCCCUCUGCACAUGUGAGAAGAGAGUGCUGAGCAGAUGAUGCAGUGAUGGACACGAGGAGGGUGGCAACGCCUU